CCUACGGGAGGCAGCAGUGGGGAAUAUUGCACAAUGGGCGCAAGCCUGAUGCAGCCACGCCGCGUGAGGGAUGAAGGCCUUCGGGUUGUAAACCUCUUUCAGCAGGGACGAAACGCAAGUGACGGUACCUGCAGAAGAAGGACCGGCCAACUACGUGCCAGCAG
rnacentral:rRNA from 1 species